CAGUCGCCGCGGUAAAACGGAGGGGGCUAGCGUUGUUCGGAAUUACUGGGCGUAAAGCGCACGUAGGCGGCUUGGUAAGUUAGAGGUGAAAGCCUGGAGCUCAACUCCAGAAUUGCCUUUAAGACUGCCGAGCUAGCAGGUGAGAGAGGUAAGUGGAAUUCCGAGUGUAGAGGUGAAAUUCGUAGAUAUUCGGAAGAACACCAGUGGCGAAGGCGGCUUACUGGCUCAUACUGGACGCUGAGGCGCGAAAGCGUGGGGAGCAAACAGGAUUAGAUACCCCCGUAGUCCCUGUCUCUUAUAC
rnacentral:rRNA from 1 species